rnacentral:rRNA from 1 species
GUCUGGCCGUAAACUUUUAUUUACAUAUUUUAUCGCCAGGGAACUACGAGCAAAGCUUAAAACCCAAGGGACUUGACGGUACCCCAUAUCCCCCUAGAGGAGCCUGUCCUAUAAUCGAUAACCCCCGUUUAACCUCACCACUUUUAGUUUAUAUCAGCCUGUAUACCUCCGUCGCCAGCUUACCACGUGAGCGAAUAAUAGUGAGCUUAAUGACAUUACACCAAUACGUCAGGUCAAGGUGCAGUAAAUAAAGUGGAAAGAGAUGGGCUACACUUUCUAAAAUAGAAAAUACAAAAGACUACUUAUGAAAUCUAGUCAGAAGGUGGAUUUAGCAGUAAAAAGAAAUCAGAGUGUUCUUUUUAACACGGCACUGGGGUGUGUACACACCGCCCGUCACCCUCCUCAUAAGCCAAAAACAGUAUUUAACUAAUUUUACGCACCAUAGAAGAGGCAAGUCGUAACAUGGUAAGUAUACCGGAAGGUGUGCUUGGAUCAA